GAUUAUGGCUCAGAACGAACGCUGGCGGCAUGGAUUAGGCAUGCAAGUCGAACGGGAGCAGCAAUGCUCCAGUGGCGCAAGGGUGAGGAACACGUGAACAACCUGCCUUCGAGUUGGGGAUAGCUUCUGGAAACGGGAGAUAAUACCGAAUAACAUCACCGGAUCGCAUGAUCUGAUGAUCAAAGCAGCAAUGCGCUUGAAGAGGGGUUCGCGUCCCAUUAGCUAGUUGGUGAGGUAACGGCCCACCAAGGCGAUGAUGGGUAGCUGGUCUGAGAGGACGAUCAGCCACAUUGGGACUGAGAUACUGCCCAGACUCCUACGGGAGGCUGCAGUCGAGAAUUUUGGGCAAUGGACGAAAGUCUGACCCAGCCAAUGCCGCGUGCGGGAUGAAGGUCUUCGGAUUGUAAACCGCUGUCAAGAGGGACGAAAUUUGACGGUACCUCUGGAGGAAGCCACGGCUAACUACGUGCCAGCAGCAGC
rnacentral:rRNA from 1 species